rnacentral:rRNA from 1 species
CGUGAGGAACCUGCCUUUCAGAGGGGGACAACAGUUGGAAACGACUGCUAAUACCGCAUAAUGCAUAGGUAUCGCAUGGUACAGAUGCCAAAGAUUUAUCGCUGAGAGAUGGCCUCGCGUCUGAUUAGCUAGUUGGUAGGGUAACGGCCUACCAAGGCGACGAUCAGUAGCCGGACUGAGAGGUUGGCCGGCCACAUUGGGACUGAGAUACGGCCCAGACUCCUACGGAAGGCAGCAG